rnacentral:rRNA from 1 species
GACGAACCGUGCGAACGUUGUUCGGAAUAACUGGGCUUAAAGGGUGCUUAGGCGGGUCCGCCAGUCUGUGGUGAAAUCCUCCCGCUCAACGGGAGAACUGCCGUGGAUACUGCGGACCUCGAGGAAGAUAGGGGCGUGCGGAACAGUUGGUGGAGCGGUGAAAUGCGUUGAUAUCAACUGGAACUCCGGUGGCGAAGGCGGCACGCUGGGUCUUUUCUGACCUUGAGGCACGAAAGCUAGGGGAGCAAACGGG